GACGAACGCUGGCGGCGUGCCUAAUACAUGCAAGUAGAACGCACAGUUUAUACCGUAGCUUGCUACACCAUAGACUGUGAGUUGCGAACGGGUGAGUAACGCGUAGGUAACCUGCCUGGUAGCGGGGGAUAACUAUUGGAAACGAUAGCUAAUACCGCAUAAUAUUGAUUAUUGCAUGAUAAUUGAUUGAAAGAUGCUAUUGCAUCACUACCAGAUGGACCUGCGUUGUAUUAGCUAGUAGGUGAGGUAACGGCUCACCUAGGCGACGAUACAUAGCCGACCUGAGAGGGUGAUCGGCCACACUGGGACUGAGACACGGCCCAGACUCCUACGGGAGGCAGCAGUAGGGAAUCUUCGGCAAUAGACGAAAGUCUGACCGAGCAACGCCGCGUGAGUGAAGAAGGUUUUCGUAUCGUAAAGCUCUGUUGUAAGAGAAGAACGGGUGUGAGAGUGGAAAGUUCACACUGUGACGGUAUCUUACCAGAAAGGGACGGCUAACUACGUG
rnacentral:rRNA from 1 species